CAGAGGAGGCAGAUCUCAACAGUAUGAAUGGCUGCUACAUGUAUUCUACAGGCCAACAGACAACGCAAGUGGUAAUCAAUCUGCCAAAAACGAAAUGGUGUUGUGCUCUGGAAGAAAUGCAAUGAAACAUCCAAGGCUCAACUCACACGAUCAUUCUGUUGGAUCAUUUACAUACACUGGAUUCUUAAUAUACUGUAUAAUGUUACC